ACUCUUAAUCAGUGCAUCCUAAUUGUAUCUCAAACCAAUUAAUCCUGUGACCCCUCACAAAGAUUAUUCUGGCCAAGAUUUAAGCAUACUCUCCAAUGACUUAGGAGUGGUCAAUCCCAUUUUGACUCAAUACACCGACUUUACAAGUACUUGACUAUAUCUAAAAAUCUUCUAAUCUUAAAUUAAAAAUUCAAAUAGUCCAGCAUCAAGGCACAGUGAGUUGCUUGUAAGUCACCGUGGUGAUC
rnacentral:lncRNA from 1 species